rnacentral:rRNA from 1 species
GACGAACCGUGCGAACGUUAUUCGGAAUCAUUGGGCUUAAAGGGCGCGUAGGCGGCGGUGUAAGUUGGAAGUGAAAUCCCAUCGGCUCAACCGUGGAAUUGCUCCCAGUACUGCAUCGCUCGAGGGGGAUAGGGGUUUGCGGAACUACCGGUGGAGCGGUGAAAUGUGUUGAUAUCGGUGGGACCGCCAGGGGCGAAGCGGCAAACUUGACCCUUCCUGACGCUGAGGCGCGAAAGCUAGGGGAGCAAACGGG